GCUUGUCUCAGAUUAAGCCAUGCAUGUCUAAGUAUAAAUGUUAUACAGUGAAACUGCGAAUGGCUCAUUAAAACAGUUAUAGUUUAUUUGAUAAUCGAAUUUACAUGGAUAACUGUAGUAAUUCUAGAGCUAAUACAUGCGUAAAGUCCCGACUCUCGCGGGGAGGGAUGUAUUUAUUAGAUAAAAAACCAAUGCGGCCUCUGGUCGGUAUUGUGGUGAAUCAUAGUAACUUUUCGAAUCGCAUGGCUUCACGCCGGCGAUAGUUCAUUCAAAUUUCUGCCCUAUCAGCUUUCGACGGUAGUGUAGUGGACUACCGUGGCGUUAACGGGUAACGGAGAAUUAGGGUUCGAUUCCGGAGAGGGAGCCUGAGAAACGGCUACCACAUCCAAGGAAGGCAGCAGG
rnacentral:rRNA from 1 species